rnacentral:lncRNA from 1 species
GGCAUUAUGAGAAGAGAGAAAAAGCUAACUUUAUAUAUAUAUUCUAGUUGUUAACCCGCGCUACGCGUUGGAAGUUUAUAAUUUUUUUUAUUUUAUUUUGUGUUAUACUUUUUAUUUAUAUUUUUACUUUUUUUUUUGUUUUGCAACGUUUGUUUUGUUGUUCUUUAUUGUUGUCAGUUUUUGUUAUUCUAUUUUUCAUAUUGUUUGAUGAUUUUUCCUCACGGUGUGCAUGUGAUUAAAGGUGUCAUGGGAUUUCC